rnacentral:misc_RNA from 1 species
AAUUCUCAACUCCCUUUGAUUUCUUCAAAGGUGAGCUUGGAUUGUGGAGGCUUGCCGGCUGCAAAGUCGGCUCCUCUGAAAUGCAUUGGCUAAGGCGUAUGCAUAAUAACGGCUUUCGAUGUGAUAAUGAUCAUCGUAGCUGGAAUGCUUCACAAGUCUAUGCCCAACCUGCUUUCCAUUCAUUUGGGAAACACUUUGACCA